GAGGUUAUAAGGAGUCUUUUCAUUGAAGUUUGCUUUCAGUUGUUUAUUUGGUUGCUGAGAUAACUUAGAGAAGGGAGAAAAAGAAAAGGGCAAGGUGUUGGUUCUAAUUUUAGGCUCAGUUAAAAACCAUAAACAAAAGAAAUAGAAGGGGAAAAAAAAGAAGAAGAAAAACAAUUGAGAAGGCAUUCGCCUGUAGAUUUGUCAUUCAAGGGAGAUGUUUUGGAGUCCUUGAUUAUGGAAAUUUCGAAGUAGUAACAUGU
rnacentral:misc_RNA from 1 species